rnacentral:rRNA from 1 species
CCUACGGGAGGCAGCAGUGGGGAAUUUUGGACAAUGGGCGAAAGCCUGAUCCAGCCAUUCCGCGUGCAGGACGAAGGCCUUCGGGUUGUAAACUGCUUUUGUACGGAACGAAAAGGUUUCAGCUAAUACCUGGGACUCAUGACGGUACCGUAAGAAUAAGCACCGGCUAACUACGUGCCAGCAGCCGCGGUAAUACGUAGGGUGCGAGCGUUAAUCGGAAUUACUGGGCGUAAAGCGUGCGCAGGCGGUCUUGUAAGGCAGAUGUGAAAUCCCCGGGCUCAACCUGGGAACUGCAUUUGUGACUGCAAGGCUAGAGUGCGGCAGAGGGGGAUGGAAUUCCGCGUGUAGCAGUGAAAUGCGUAGAUAUGCGGAGGAACACCGAUGGCGAAGGCAAUCCCCUGGGCCUGCACUGACGCUCAUGCACGAAAGCGUGGGGAGCAAACAGGAUUAGAUACCCUGGUAGUCCACGCCCUAAACGAUGUCAACUGGUUGUUGGGUCUUCACUGACUCAGUAACGAAACUAACGCGUGAAGUUGACCGCCUGGGGAGUAACGGCCGCAAGGUUGAAACUUCAAAUGAAUUGACGGCGNGAGAGNGCGAGGACGACGACGAGGGAGAGG